CAUCUAUCACGGAUGCCAUACUUUCCUGUCUAGGUUUCUUCAAUCAACCCUUAUUUUUCUUUGCUGUGAGGACCAGGAAGGAACCAAUCUGUUUAAAAACUGUUGCCCGCUGGUGGCUCGUUGCCAGGUCUGAGAUAACACUGGUGGUCCCUCUGAGGGCUGAGGACGCAUUCCCCGGGUACUGCAAUCAGAGCAGACGCAUGUGCAGCUGUGGAUGGAGGGAGCUGACGUGUUCUCUCCGGGAGCAGAGGAGCAAAUGUCACGAGAAAAGCCCUUGAAAAUGGUUCUCAUCCCUUUCUCCAUCGCAGACAACCCAGAAUAAACUGUUCUGAAAUGUUGACGUUUAAUAAUAUUAAUAUUAGUAAUGGCUGGAAAGGGCUUCUGGUAAUGAGAUUCCAGGAUAAAUAGGUCACUGGGUUUUCAUUGCUUAUCAAUGAAGUUCCCAAAAAGAUCUUUUUUAAGGAAAUAGGCUCAUGUAAACUUUUUUUUUUUUAAAAAAAGGAAGGAAAUACAUUGUCUUUAUAAUAAGGCAAUGCAAGAGGGAUUUUUGUUGAUUUGUUUUGAGGAACUAUUUAUAAAAUGAUGAAGAUUUUAAAAAAUAAAAAAGGCUGAGCAUGGUGGCUUAUGAAUGUAAUCCCAGCACUUUGAGAGGCCAAGGCAGGAGAAUCGCUUGAGCCCAGAAGUUCAAGAUCAGGCUAGGCAACAUAGUGAGACCUUGUCUCUAAGAAAAAUGAAAAAAAAAAAAAAAAUUAGCCAGGCAUGGUGGCACACACCUGUGGUCCCAGCUACUCGGGAGACUGAGGUGGGAGAAUGGCUUGAGCCCAGGAAGUUGGGGCUGCAGUGAGCCUGUGAUUGCACCACUACACUCCAGCCUGGGUGACAGAGCAAGACCCUGUCUCAAAAAAAAUAAAAAUAAUUUAAAAAGAAAACAAAAUUGAGAAUCCUCUGCUGGUCCCUGUUAUGUCUUACUCAGAAAGUGACAUAGGUGAAUUUUAUCUUAGGAAAAUGUACUGCUACUGUGUUUCCAGCUGUAUCAGUGCAUUCUUACCUUCCCUAAAUUAAAAGCCCAUCACUGCUAGCUCCUAAGGACUCCUUUCAGUACCGCCUUUUCAAUGCCACUUGAGCAUCAUGGUUCUAACAGUUAAGUUUGGCCUGCUUUGCGCUGUAAAACUUGCCUGCAAAUAGCUUGGUGGUCUGCCCUGGAUUUGCCAGGAGCCUGUUUUUUGAAAGGGGCUUAAGGCACAAGGCUGCUGAGUUUGGAAUCAUUUUGCCAACCCUGGCAGCCUCUGUGACUCUAUGAUUUCUUUAAUGUUCCCGUCUUUCUCAUUUCCCUAAAUAAACUGAAGCCUUUACUGGAAGGUCAAGUAAAUGUUACUGUGAAUCACUACUAGUAGAGGCUCCAGAAAAGGGAAUCCUGGUUGCUCUCAAAUAAUCUUGAAAUUUCACUCUUUUAAUUAUUUUUAAGCCCCUGUUCUUAAAAAAAACUGUAGAAACAUAUGUAACAUAUAUAAACCAAAAUGUCUACUGAUUUUCAGGCUAACUGAAGACUAACUAGAAAUAAGUUUAUUGCCCCAAUGCUGUUGUUCAGAAGCUUUCUGAUAUGUUCAUUCACCUUCCUGCCUUAUUAAUCAGAGUAAACAUGAUGAACUGUAUAUUUCUAUGUAACAUCAUAUACCAUACUAAUUUUCACUUGCGUUCUUAAUAUAAUUUAUCUUUUUGGGAAUUGGGCAUUGAACUACAUUAAGUAGUUUCAGUAUCUCCCCUUGAAUAUGUUGAGGGAAUCUUUUGAAAUCAACUUUGUACUGUCAUUUCAUUUUCUUUUCGUAUACAGCUAAGAUUUAUUGAGUGCUUACUGUGAGCCAGACAAUGUGAUAAGUGUUUUAAGUGAAUGAUCUAUUUUAAUGCUUUUUAAAAAUCAACACUGACUUAGUAAUAGUGUUUUCCCUUUAUUAAAGAUGAAGAAACUGAGUUCAGAAAAGUGAACUGACUUACCAAGGUUACUCAACCAGUAAGUGUUGAAAUCAUAACUAAACUGUAGCUGUGUUUGACCACACAGCCUUGCUUACAACUCACAAAAGACUUGAGUUCCAUUCCCAGCUUUGAACUUUAUAGACCAAGUAAUUCUUGACCUCCCCAGGCAUCUUCAUCCUUAUUUAUAAAAUGAAGGUAAUAGUGCCUCCCUUCCAAAGUUGGGGUACUAAGACUUGUGAGAAAUUACUUCCAAACUCUAAAAUGCUAAAUACACGUAAUGUUAUUGCUUUUACAUGUUUAUUAGCUAGCGAUGUCUUUAGUUAAUUGCAUUAGCUAAAUUAACAUAUUAUGCUUAGAUUAUAGGUGGGAAGCCUCACUAUUAGCUAGCGA
rnacentral:lncRNA from 10 species